rnacentral:sRNA from 1 species
AUUCGCUAAAGAACCAUAGUGUGGGAC